CAGCGUUGUACUAAGUCAAACUUAUCUAACUUUGACUAUUUUAAAAAGAAAUGUUUUAAUAUCUACGAGUUCAAAUAAAUGCACCACCAAACAUAUUUCAUAGAGAAUCUAAUUAAACAAAUUUGAUGGUAUAAAUGUUUAUACAUCUUUAUAUAAACUUGGUUGGAGUUAGAGAAGCUUGAGUUAGGGUAAGCCCAA
rfam:Zea mays cultivar B73 chromosome 7, whole genome shotgun sequence.